rnacentral:lncRNA from 1 species
AGCUUUUACUUCUUAUUUUGAUGAUCCUUUUUUUGUGCCAGCCAGGGAAGUUACUGUUGUUUAUGCUACUUAUACUACAUGUUCUGAAUUGAAUGUAGGUCCAGAAAGAACCUGGAUAGCAUAUUGAAGUUUAUGAAUGCUGAGAAAUCAAUGCUGAGAAGUUAUAUUAAUGGAGUAGAGUUGCUGGUAUUUACCUCAAAUCAACUUGACAUGGACUCAAAGGGUAUGUAAACUGUUUUAUGCAUUAGCUCUUCUCUGCCACUUCCUUAACACCCUAAUCUACAAUUCAUUUCUAUGAAUAUUGAUAUCAAAAUUAAGAUUAGAGAGAGCAGGUUCAAAAUAUUAAAUUUUUCUUUUGAAAAUUGUUUUUUUGAAUUUGUUUGUCGCAUUUGCCUGCAUGGCUCAAACAGCAUUUAUU